AUGAACGCUGGCGGCGUGCCUAAUACAUGCAAGUCGCGCGAACGGACGAGAAGCUUGCUUCUCUGAUGUUAGCGGCGGAUGGGUGAGUAACACGUGGAUAACCUACCUAUAAGACUGGGAUAACUUCGGGAAACCGUAGCUAAUACCGGAUAAUAUUUUGAACCGCCUGGUUCAAAAGUGAAAGACGGUCUUGCUGUCACUUAUAGAUGGAUCCGCGCUGCAUUAGCUAGUUGGUAAGGUAACGGCUUACCAAGGCAACGAUGCAUAGCCGACCUGAGAGGGUGAUCGGCCACACUGGAACUGAGACACGGUCCAGACUCCUACGGGAGGCAGCAGUAGGGAAUCUUCCGCAAUGGGCGAAAGCCUGACGGAGCAACGCCGCGUGAGUGAUGAAGGUCUUCGGAUCGUAAAACUCUGUUAUUAGGGAAGAACAUAUGUGUAAGUAACUGUGCACAUCUUGACGGUACCUAAUCAGAAAGCCACGGCUAACUACGUG
rnacentral:rRNA from 1 species